GGCAAAUCUUCAGAGCGAGUGUAUGGUUCUGCUUUGCAUUACUGAGUGCUGUACAGGAUAAGCCAUUAGAGCGAGUAUUGCUUUCCACUGGAACUGACAUUUUGUUGAUACUUCAUCAGACUGAAUGCUCUGGUGGCAAGGAAGAUUAAAACAGAAGAAACGGAGCUCAUGAUUGGAAUGUGUGAGAGGUGCAAACAUUUGAAGUCUUUUUAAGGACUUUAGCAUUCUUUGGAAAACCUUGAUGAAGACUACAUCAGCUGCAGCAUUCCCAAACUCCCAUGGAGGGAAAAAGGAAUAAAUUUCAGGCAGUUUAAAGGC